CAUGCCUAACACAUGCAAGUCGAACGGAAACGAUGCUAGCUUGCUAGCAGGCGUCGAGUGGCGGACGGGUGAGUAAUGUAUAGGGAUCUGCCUAGUAGUGGGGGACAACAUGUGGAAACGCAUGCUAAUACCGCAUACGCUCUACGGAGGAAAGUGGGGGACCUUUCGGGGCCUCAUGCUACUAGAUGAACCUAUAUUGGAUUAGCUUGUUGGUAAGGUAAUGGCUUACCAAGGCGACGAUCCAUAGCUGGUUUGAGAGAAUGAUCAGCCACACUGGGACUGAGACACGGCCCAGACUCCUACGGGAGGCAGCAGUGGGGAAUAUUGCACAAUGGACGAAAGUCUGAUGCAGCAAUGCCGCGUGUGUGAAGAAGGCCUUAGGGUUGUAAAGCACUUUCAGACGUGAGGAAAAGUAAUAAUUUAAUAAAUUAUUACCUUGACGUUAACGUCAGAAGAAGGACCGGCUAACUCCGUGCCAGCAGCCGCGGUAAUACGGAGGGUCCAAGCGUUAAUCGGAAUUACUGGGCGUAAAGCGCGCGUAGGCGGAUAUUUUAAGUCAGAUGUGAAAUCCCUGGGCUCAACCUAGGAACUGCAUUUGAUACUGGGAUAUCUAGAGUAUGGUAGAGGUGAGUGGAAUUUCAGGUGUAGCGGUGAAAUGCGUAGAGAUCUGAAGGAACAUCAGUGGCGAAGGCGACUCACUGGGCCAUUACUGACGCUGAGGUGCGAAAGCGUGGGUAGCAAACAGGAUUAGAUACCCUGGUAGUCCACGCCCUAAACGAUGUCAACUAGGUGUAUGGGAGUUUAACUCCUGUGUAUCGAAGCUAACGCGAUAAGUUGACCGCCUGGGGAGUACGGUCGCAAGACUAAAACUCAAAUGAAUUGACGGGGGCCCGCACAAGCGGUGGAGCAUGUGGUUUAAUUCGAUGCAACGCGAAGAACCUUACCUGGUCUUGACAUGUAGCGAAGGUUUUAGAGAUAGAACUGUGCCUUCGGGAACGCUAACACAGGUGCUGCAUGGCUGUCGUCAGCUCGUGUCGUGAGAUGU
rnacentral:rRNA from 1 species